AGAGUUUGAUUAUGGCUCAGGACGAACGCUAGCGAUAGGCCUAACACAUGCAAGUCGAGGGGCAGCACAUGAAGUAGCAAUACGGAUGGUGGCGACCGGCGCACGGGUGAGUAACGCGUAUGCAACCUGCCUACAACAGGGGAAUAACCCGUUGAAAGACGGACUAAUACCCCAUAACACAGGGAUCCCGCAUGGGAAUAUUUGUUAAAGAUUUAUCGGUUGUAGAUGGGCAUGCGUUUCAUUAGCUGGUUGGUGAGGUAACGGCUCACCAAGGCAACGAUGGAUAGGGGAACUGAGAGGUUUAUCCCCCACACUGGUACUGAGACACGGACCAGACUCCUACGGGAGGCAGCAGUGAGGAAUAUUGGUCAAUGGACGCAAGUCUGAACCAGCCACGUCGCGUGAAGGAAGACGGCCCUACGGGUUGUAAACUCCUUUUGUAAGGGAAUAAAGUGCAGUACGUGUACUGUUUUGCAUGUACCUUACGAAUAAGGAUCGGCUAACUCCGUGCCAGCAGCCGCGGUAAUACGGAGGAUCCGAGCGUUAUCCGGAUUUAUUGGGUUUAAAGGGUGCGCAGGCGGGAGAUUAAGUCGGCGGUGAAAUUUUGCAGCUCAACUGUAAAAGUGCCUUCGAAACUGGUUUUCUUGAGUGUGGAUGAAGUAGGCGGAAUUUGUGGUGUAGCGGUGAAAUGCAUAGAUAUCACGAGGAACUCCGAUUGCGCAGGCAGCUUACUAAACCAUAACUGACGCUCAGGCACGAAAGGCGUGGGGAUCAACAGGAUUAGAUACCCUGGUAGUC
rnacentral:rRNA from 1 species